rnacentral:rRNA from 1 species
UACGAAGGGGGCUAGCGUUGUUCGGAAUUACUGGGCGUAAAGCGUGCGCAGGCGGCUGCUCAAGUCAGGGGUGAAAGCCCAGAGCUCAACUCUGGAAUUGCCUUUGAGACUGAGUGGCUUGAGUACGGGAGAGGUGAGUGGAAUUCCCAGUGUAGAGGUGAAGUUCGUAGAUAUUGGGAAGAACACCGGUGGCGAAGGCGGCUCACUGGCCCGUAACUGACGCUCAUGCACGACAGCGUGGGGAUCAAACAGG